GUAAAUAAUAAAGGGCGUAUGGUGGAUGCCUAGGCUCUCAGAGGCGAUGAAGGACGUGAUAAGCUGCGAAAAGCUCCGUUUAGGUGCAAAUAACCUUUGAUGCGGAGAUCUCCGAAUGGGAUAACCCAAUAUGUUGAAGACAUAUUAUACCGUAAGGUAGGCAAACGCAGGGAACUGAAACAUCUAAGUACCUGCAGGAGAAGAAAACAAACGUGAUUCCCCCAGUAGCGGCGAGCGACCGGGGAUAAGCCCAAACCGUUAUUGUUUCGGCAGUAGCGGGGUAGUAGGACUGCGACAUUGAUGAAAUAAAUGAAAUGGAACACCUUGGAAAAUGUGAUCACAGAGGGUGAUAAUCCCGUACAUGUAAGUUUAUGAAUCAUAGCAGACUCCUGAGUAAGUCGGGACACGUGUAAUCCUGACCGAAUCAGCCGGGACCAUCCGGUAAGGCUAAAUACUCCCGAGAGACCGAUAGUGAACCAGUACCGUGAGGGAAAGGUGAAAAGCACUUCGAACAGAAGAGUGAAAUAGUCCCUGAACCCAUACGCCUACAAGCAGUCGGAGCCGCUUCGUGCGGUGACGGCGUGCCUUUUGCAUAAUGAGCCUACGAGUUACUCAUCACCAGCGAGGUUAAGUACUUCAGGUACGUAAGCCGAAGCGAAAGCGAGUCUGAAUAGGGCGUCAAGUUGGUGGUGGUAGACGCGAAACCUUAGUGAUCUACCCAUGGGCAGGGUGAAGGUUUGGUAACACAAACUGGAGGCCCGAACCGGUAAACGUUGAAAAGUUUUCGGAUGACCUGUGGGUAGGGGUGAAAGGCCAAUCAAACUGGGAAAUAGCUCGUACUCUCCGAAAUGCAUUUAGGUGCAGCCUCUGUUGUUUUGUUCUAGAGGUAGAGCUACUGAUUGGAUGCGAGGGCUUCACCGCCUAUCAAAUCCGGCCAAACUCCGAAUGCUAGAACAUGAAGACAGGGAGUGAGCCAGCGGGUGCUAAGGUCCGUUGACGAAAGAGGGAGAACUCAGACCAUCAGCUAAGGUCCCCAAUUAUAUGCUAAGUUGGAAUAAAAACGGGGUGGGACUGCUUAGACAGCUAGGAUGUUGGCUUGGAAGCAGCCAUUCAUUUAAAGAGUGCGUAACAGCUCACUAGUCGAGCGGUCCUGCAUGGAUAAUACGCGGGCAUAAGCAUAUAACCGAAGCUAUGGGAUUGUAGAUGAUACAAUCGGUAGGAGAGCAUUCCAUUCAGCAUAGAAGCAGUAUCGUGAGGUAUUGUGGAGCGGAUGGAAAAGCAAAUGUAGGCAUAAGUAACGAUAAUGCGGGUGAGAACCCCGCACGCCGAAAGAUCAAGGAUUCCCCGGCAAUGUCAAUCAUCCGGGGGUAAGUCGGAUCCUAAGGGUAAGCCGAGUGGCGAUCCCGAUGGUAAACAGGUUAAUAUUCCUGUACUGAUCAUAACUGCGAUGCAGCGACGCAGAGGUGACACUGCUGCGUACUGACGGAAUAGUACGUUGAAACCCGUAUUCUUUGAUACCGGUAGUGAAGCACGCCGGUAGAGAUGAAAGGUGAUAGUACCGCAAUGCUUCGGUUGCGCGGAUAAUGCAGGUAAGCUGACUGCCAAGAAAACCUGCUAAGCUUCAGGUAAUGAUCAUCCGUACUGUAAACGGACACACGUGAUCAGGUAGAAAAUACUAAGGCGCUCGAGAGAUUCAUGGUUAAGGAACUAGGCAAAAUGGUCCUGUAACUUCGGGAUAAAGGACGCUCUUGUGAAAGAGCCGCAGAUAAUAGGCCCAGGCGACUGUUUACCAAAAACACAUGGCUAUGCUAAUUCGCAAGAAGAUGUAUAUGGCCUGACACCUGCCCGGUGCCGGAAGGUUAAGAGGAGAGCUCAGAGGUAACUCGAAGGUUUGAAUUGAAGCCCCGGUAAACGGCGGCCGUAACUAUAACGGUCCUAAGGUAGCGAAAUUCCUUGUCGGGU
rnacentral:rRNA from 1 species